rnacentral:rRNA from 1 species
AGAGCGAACGCUGGCGGCAGGCCUAACACAUGCAAGUCGAGCGCCCGUAGCAAUACGGGAGCGGCAGACGGGAUAGUAACACGUGGGAACGCGCCCUUCGGUUCGGAAUAACUCAGGGAAACUUGAGCUAAUACCGGAUACGCCCUUACGGGGAAAGAUUUAUUGCCGAAGGAACGGCCCGCGUCCGAUUAGCUAGUUGGUGAGGUAAUGGCUCACCAAGGCGACGAUCGGUAGCUGGUCUGAGAGGAUGACCAGCAUCACUGGGACUGAGACACGGCCCAGACUCCUACGGGAGGCAGCAGUGGGGAAUUUUGCGCAAUGGGGGAAACCCUGACGCAGCAACGCCGCGUGGAGGAUGAAAUCCCUUGGGAUGUAAACUCCUUUCGAUCGGGAAGAUAAUGACGGUACCGAGAGAAGAAGCCCCGGCUAACUUCGUGCCAGCAGCCGC